UAUUAUCAUCAGAGCCGCGAAUUAGUUUGCCGAGUGUUUGUUUUCGUGCCCAGCUGAUGUGUUGGCUGCAGCGGAAGAGGGGCGCUCUGUGCGCCGGCGCCAGCAGCAAGAGAGAAGGAGUGGGAAGAGAAAGUUAGUUCCGCUGAUUUUUACCCUGGCCUUUCUUAUGCAGGCGAGUGGCGACGUGUCGCGGGCGCUGCGGCUUCGGCCAGCCCCCUGGAGUUUGGGCGGCCAAUCAGAGUGCGGCAAGAGGGGAGUGUGGUCAUCUCCUAUACCUACAGCAUUGGAAAGUUCGAGAACCUUCUAGAAGAAAGGUGGAGUUUGGGGUCUCCGAUUUCCCAAGAUCGUCGAUAUAUGCAAAUGAGAAGAAAUGAUAUAAAAACCCGAGCCGCUCGGUAAGCGGCGCACUCUUUGCUCCGGCUCCUUCGGGAGUGGGGAGCGGAGACCCCCGGCGGCCCGCAAGGGCUGCCACCAGGCUGACCUGCGGGUCAGGCUGAGGAGGGCGGCCGGAGGCUAUGCCGGUUUCCCUGCUCAGUCUGGCUGCAGAAAACGCUGGCUCUGUAAACCUGUGCACGGUUUAUGGAGCCACGCGUUACGUUAGUUGAAAUCCCGAUGCAAUAAUGUUUCUAUCCAAGCAGCGGAUCCUGCAGCCAGAGGGAGGAGCCAAAUCACCGCAGAUCAGAUUCAGCCUUGCAGAGAGAUAGAGUCACCGGGGAACUUCGAGCUUCGAGAGCAUCCAGCGUUGGAGCACCGCAGAUCUUCCCUGCUCGUCGAGAAGAAAAGCCGCCUCAUUGGGAGGUGCAAAAGAGCCUCCAGAUCUUCUCCGGCGGCAGAUAGAGCAGCGGGAAAGAUCGGCGCCCCAAAAGGAGUGAGCUGUUGGCAGUUAAGCAGCAGAUAAAGCGCAGCGGGACUUAGAAAAUUCUGCGUGCAGCUUUUGCGAGUCCAGCGGCCGGAGAACUCCGUCCCGCCGAGGGAUAGAGCCGGCCCAACGCGCCUAGAGUUCAGCCAGAGUCUCCGGACCAUCCUGACAAGUGUGUCCUGGAGAGAGGAGUUGGAGAGUGAGCGUGAUGGAUCGUGGGAAUAAUGUCCGCCGAGCCCCCCGAAUGCGUGGCGGCGUGCGCGAUGCAGAGGAGAGCGAGCGCGGAGUGGAUCAAUAGUUAUUCAAUCCUUUAUGCAAUGAGCCAAAAUUUCAAAAAUUAUUAGUUCUUACUUCAUAAAUGUAUUAUUUUUCCAUUUAUUUCCACGACAAGUAAAUUAAUUUUUUAAAGAUAAUUUAUUCAAGCAAACCCAUUAUGUAAUAUAUACUAAUACAAUACAAUUUCAAUUUUGUUAACGUACUGCUUCUCUGCCUAAUCUUUCCUGUCAAUUUUUAUUCUUUUAACUUGGAUACAAUUAAUUAAUUUGUUAAAAAAAAUCUAAUGAAUAUUGGACAUUUAACCUUUUCAAAAUCGGUGGCAAAUCAACAGAGGGCCACAAAGAUUGCGUCUCCCUUUGUGAGAGCUGUGAAAAACGCUCACAAACUAGCGCAGGCAACAACAAAAGCUCUGCACCUUUCUCCCCAGAUAUGGUCGUGCAGGUAUGGUUAGAAAUUUCUCCACAUAAUUUCAACGUUGUAAUUUAAAAUGAGGGUAAAAAAUAUUCUCUCAAAUUUUGGUCGUCAAUUUGAAAUAAAAUACAUUUAUUUAUCAGAUCCCUCCAAGAGCCAUGACCUCUCGCAACCCCCAAGCCCAAGGAGAAGCGCUCACCAAGCCUCCUCAGAACAGUGUACUAACUGCAGCAGGUAUAGCAGAAGCCCAGGAAGAAGAGAACGCAGAAGGUCUCGAUCUAAAUCUGUUGAACGCAGACCCAUCAACAGCUUGGAGUCCUCUUCAAAGACAGCUUUCCUCCUCACAUCGCAGUCCACCAGCCUGGACGAAACGAAAGGGCAGACGUGACUCUUCAUGCGCACUUCCAGCUCUGCUCUUCAUGCUUAUCGUUUUCAAUUUCCCCUGGAGAAAUAGUUGAGACUUGACUAAAGACGGUUUGCUCAUUUAGCACGUACCUGACAGAGAUGAAUCGUGGGUUGAAGCAAGCAUAUCCAGCCAAGCUUUGCUUCUCCAGGAUUAAGAGAAAGUACAGAAGGAAUAUGUCCAACCCAGCAUCACAGUUUUUUGUCCCCAUAAGUAUAUGUGUCUUGAGAGUAUGUGCAUCAUAAUUUGAUUUUGAUGAUUUUCAAUAUUAUGUGUAUGCAUAUAUUAUAUAUAUUAUGAUUUCAGAUGCAGAUAAAGCAAAAUUGUGCUGAGGGCAGAGCUAGGCCAAAAAAGAAUUGUUUGAUUUUAAUCAAGUGGAUCCAAAAAGUGGCUUAGGGUGUUCUGCAACUCAUUCAAAAGAGUCGGAGAUAAAUUGCAACAAUUUUCAAAAUUGACGAGUCUAUAUAGCAUUGUGGUAAUGGUAGUUUUCUACCAAAACGCAGUUUUGAUAAAAAAAUUAUCGAGUUCAAUGUCGAAUCAAUUUGUGGAAUUUGGCUCUCGAGAGCAUUCUCUACCUGCUUCUAACUAUGCGAGUCUCUAUCCUAUGCAGCCUGUAAAAUCUCUUAACGAACUUAAACAACAUCAUAUUAUGGAUAAUAAUUAAAUUGGUUGCUGAUAUGCCUCGAACAACAUGUCGGAAAUAUCUAUCACCACAAGACCAUCAUACAUUUUUUGCUAGCAAUCGACUUUGUAUUCUUGGAGAAAAUGUCCGCAGCUACCACAUUCCAAAUAUUAUAUUAAAAGCAACUUAAUUAGGCUGCUUCAGAAAUUCCCAGAAGGUGUUCAAGCAUCUCAGCUACCAAAACUUUAAAAAUAAGCUUACUAGUAUGUUAUUUUCUCAAAUUCGUCACUGUUAUUUUUGUAAAAUGAGCCAAAACAAACUAAAGUCAUAGGAAUAUAUAUUAUGUUUUAUGAUUAGUUUUCAAUUGUUUUAAAUUGCGCACGCUUCUUAAUAAUACAUAUUUGAGAAGGUAUUGUUUGCAGUCCGAAAUUUUGACAUGCUCUGAAGAUUAUUGAUAAUCUUAAUCAAACCCGCGCGCAAGUGAAGCUAAUAUAUAAAAACAUUUUUUAAUUGGUCGCAGUUUAGUUAGGUAAAAAAAUAUUGACUGAAAAGAUAAUUAAUUUUCAAACCUGCCAAUGACCAAGACUUCAAUGUUCAAAACUUUGGAUUCCAAAAUGUAGAGGAACUGAUACAAAAGUCUCAAUAUUUUCAAGGCAGCUGGUUCAAAUUCAGGCGGUGUCAUGGUUAAUUGUUGAUGCUGCAUCUGAUCUUCCAAUCUCCAAUCUAAAAGUCCUAACACAGUUGGAGCUAACAAUAUGGUCAGUAGACAGUUCUCUGCUUUUGGCCCGAAGGAAACAACAUCUUCCCUCAGGAUUUAAACUUCUAGUGGCCGAGAUGGAAUUCUCAAAUACUCAGCCAGAAUUUGCUGUCACUGUUGGUGAAAUUUUCUCUCCAUCGCAAUUCUUCGUUCAUCAAUACCAAUGCUGAUUUGGAUAUUGUUAUGCAGGAAUUAGGAUCGAUUAAGUGCAGAAAAUUCUUAAGAAUCUAAUAUUUUGUGUGUGUAUGCUUGUGUGAUUUAUGAUAUUUUUUUCAGUUAUUUACAACUCUAACAAUGAUGACUUGAAGCUUGAAGGUGCUGUUAGAGGGUUUGUAUGUGGCUACCAAGUUUUGCAAAAAGUGGCUCAGGGCUCAAAUCGAUGAUAAUAGCUUAAAGCAAAAUAAUUUGAAAUAUUUGUGUGCAAAAGGAUGUUGCAAGGAAGAUGGCUUUGUUUUUUGGAGUUGUGGCUGUUUGACAACAUUGGAACAUUUAAAUAAACCUCUUCUUGACUUGACACAAGAAUUUAAGAUGAAAUUUUAAAUUUAUGCACCAGUUAAAAUAUCAUUAAUUAGGUUAUCAUUAAGAGGA